GGGCGCAUGGUGUAGUUGGUUAUCACAUCCGCUUAGCAUCUAUGUGGUGGCUUGCGGGGGGUGCUGGGUUCAAUUCCCAGUGUGUCCA